ensembl:lncRNA
AGGGAAAGGGAAUAAACAAAGGAGGCGAGGUUGAGGUUUCAGCAGGAGCUCAGCAGGCAGGAAACAUACAAAUUAACACUUUCACAGCUCGUCACAUGAGAAAAAGCAUUUAUUCUAUGCAUGUCUGUAUUUAUAUAUAAAUAUAUAAUAGACCUAUAUGUCAAAUAUAUAAUUGCAAGUAACCAAAGCUUGUUUGAAUUCACUCCUUUUUUGUUCUGUAUCCAAACGGACCAUCCACAUGGACACUCAGAUCACAGGGGUGCGUCUCUUAUCGAGAACAAUCGCCAGUGUUUCGCCUCGACUCGUUUGAGUAACGUGGAAUUAGAACCAGUCAUGGAAUAGUACGUUUUUCAAUCACUGUCCGCUUCAAUCAUCAUGAGUAGGGAAUAUACCAUUGGAAGUCUCCUCAACGGAGUCCACACAAGGGUUCACCUCGCUUCAUGACCAUAGAUACAAAGGGUCCAUUCCCACAGUAAUGAUUAACAUCUGGCUGUGGACCUUACCACUGGGCUGAGAUUGUUGAAGUGGAAAAAGGUGUUAAUCUGAAGUUAAUUAGAGUAUGCAGGCAUGAGCUGAGGUACACCUGUGUGUUGUUUUGUUAUGCACUGCCAACCCUUCGGCCCACAGUGAUGUGUCAUACCUUCUGAACUGUUUUGUAAUCUUUGUCUAGCAUAACCUUUAAAGUGCCUUCCGGUGUACCUUUACAAAGAUUACUCAUUUGGGGCCUCAGCUAAGGGACCCUUAACAGACCAAUUGAAAAAUGACCUCGCCCUCUUCUCCAGCCCUGAAGAACAGUGGGUAAUGUACUGUGAGGUCAUUUAAAUCGGCCACACUUUUGUUUUUGCAUGGAGGCUUAGCUCCGUUAAAGGUUUGUCUGUCUAAGGAUUAUGUUAGGUUAGUUGGUCGAUGGUAUAAUCAUUCUAUGCCUUUUCGAAACAUCAGCACAUCAGUCGAAACCAGUGUAUUUUAUAAAAUAUAUCUGUAAAUAUUUACAUUGAUUUUGUAUUCGAUUUGCACUCCUUUGUCUUAACUUUAAUUUAUGCCAAAAGUUAGACUGUACCCUGUGAACCUGCUCAUUGUAGACUUGAAAUGAAUAUCUAUGCAGAUGUGAGAGUUGAGACAGAACAGGAUGUUCAGACUGAGACCUGUGAUGGCGUCAACCAUGAGAACACUCAAGAUGACCGACAAACCACAUGAAUAGAUCGGCUCAUGAAGAACUUGGUUAUAUUUAACAAUAGGGGGAACCAACCCUGCAUGCUAAUCGUGCCAUCUAUAUUCUAUAUACACAAUAGUUCAAUAUGUGAGCGCUGUGUUGUCUUGUAUAUUGUUUUGCACUCAAGGAGAACAUAAAUUGAUAUCUCAAAA